rnacentral:rRNA from 1 species
CAGUAGCCACGGUAAUACGUAGGGUGCGAGCGUUAAUCGGAAUUACUGGGCGUAAAGCGUGCGCAGGCGGUUAUAUAAGACAGAUGUGAAAUCCCCGGGCUCAACCUGGGAACUGCAUUUGUGACUGUAUAGCUAGAGUACGGCAGAGGGGGAUGGAAUUCCGCGUGUAGCAGUGAAAUGCGUAGAUAUGCGGAGGAACACCGAUGGCGAAGGCAAUCCCCUAGGCCUGUACUGACGCUCAUGCACGAAAGCGUGGGGAGCAAACAGGAUUAGAUACCCCAGUAGUCCCUGUCUCUUAUAC